AGACCCGAAACCCGGUGAUCUAGCCAUGGGCAGGUUGAAGGUUGGGUAACACUAACUGGAGGACCGAACCGACUAAUGUUGAAAAAUUAGCGGAUGACCUGUGGCUGGGGGUGAAAGGCCAAUCAAACCGGGAGAUAGCUGGUUCUCCCCGAAAGCUAUUUAGGUAGCGCCUCGUGAAUUCAUCUCCGGGGGUAGAGCACUGUUUCGGCUAGGGGGCCAUCCCGGCUUACCAACCCGAUGCAAACUGCGAAUACCGGAGAAUGUUAUCACGGGAGACACACGGCGGGUGCUAACGUCCGUCGUGAAGAGGGAAACAACCCAGACCGCCAGCUAAGGUCCCAAAGUCAUGGUUAAGUGGGAAACGAUGUGGGAAGGCCCAGACAGCCAGGAUGUUGGCUUAGAAGCAGCCAUCAUUUAAAGAAAGCGUAAUAGCUCACUGGUCGAGUCGGCCUGCGCGGAAGAUGUAACGGGGCUAAACCAUGCACCGAAGCUGCGGCAGCGACGCUUAUGCGUUGUUGGGUAGGGGAGCGUUCUGUAAGCCUGCGAAGGUGGCCUGUGAGGGUUGCUGGAGGUAUCAGAAGUGCGAAUGCUGACAUAAGUAACGAUAAAGCGGGUGAAA
rnacentral:rRNA from 1 species